rnacentral:rRNA from 1 species
GACGUAGGGCGCGAGCGUUGUCCGGAUUUAUUGGGCGUAAAGAGCUCGUAGGCGGCUUGUCGCGUCGACUGUGAAAACCCGAGGCUCAACUUCGGGCUUGCAGUCGAUACGGGCAGGCUAGAGUUCGGUAGGGGAGACUGGAAUUCCUGGUGUAGCGGUGAAAUGCGCAGAUAUCAGGAGGAACACCGAUGGCGAAGGCAGGUCUCUGGGCCGAUACUGACGUGAGGAGCGAAAGCGUGGGGAGCGAACAGG